rnacentral:rRNA from 1 species
UACGUAGUGUGCAAGCGUUAAUCGGAAUUACUGGGCGUAAAGCGUGCGCAGUCGGUGAUGUAAGACAGGUGUGAAAUCCCCGGGCUUAACCUGGGAACUGCAUUUGUGACUGCAUCGCUGGAGUGCGGCAGAGGGGGAUGGAAUUCCGCGUGUAGCAGUGAAAUGCGUAGAUAUGCGGAGGAACACCGAUGGCGAAGGCAAUCCCCUGGGCCUGCACUGACGCUCAUGCACGAAAGCGUGGGGAGCAAACAGG